rnacentral:rRNA from 1 species
GCGUAACACGUGAGAAUCUACCCAUAGCUUAUGGUUAAAUGCCAUAGAAUCUUAUAGAUUUAGAUAUAUAUCGGUUAUGGAUGAGCUUGCGGGGUAUUAGGUAGUUGGUGUGGUAAUGGCGCACCAAGCCCAAGAUGCCUAGCCGGUUUGAGAGAACGAUCGGCCACACUGGGACUGAGACACGGCCCAGACGCUUACGAGCGGCAGCAGUGGGGAAUAUUGGACAAUGGGCGAAAGCCUGAUCCAGUGAUAUCGCUUUGGGGAUGACGGCGACAUACGUUGUAAACCCAAUGAAGUACGUUUAGAUUAUGACCGUACGUAUUUAGAAGUCCCGGC